GAGAAGCAGCUGUGAAGUCAUAAUUAUGUUCACUUCCCACUGGCAACUGGCAAGCCCUUUAUUUUUGUGCAUUCGGAACUCACCAAGAAUAAAUAAAGUCCAUUCCCUCCUUGAGGGGCUAUUCUGCCAUUCCAUCUAGGAUUUAAAAGUUUGCCAAUUCCUAAAACAUCUAUUGUUAUAAAUAGUCUUGUGUCUUUCACAAAGCGGACUUUACAAAAUAAGAUGCCAUGUCCAGCCAAAUAAAUGAGACUGAACUUCAUGGUUGUUGUUUUUAUUUCAUCCCGGUCAAAAGAAAUGAAAUUAAAUAUAAAAAGCAGAUGACCAAAUAAAGUCCAAAUGAAUUAAGUAUU
rnacentral:sRNA from 1 species